CACAGAGGAAGCUAGAUGUGAAGGCAGAACCGAGAAUAGAGUGAAUAGAAGGACCAAGCCAGAACAGCAACAUCAAAGUGAGGAGACAUUGAAGGGAAGCAUUCGUCCAGGCCCUGGUUAGAGAUUUUUGGAGAUCCAGGGUUACUGGGGUUGUACUCCAGAAAGAAAAGAAAUUAGAGCCAAUCGACACAGACUUGCAGAAGAACUACUUCCUCCGGGCUGGGCAUUGUGUUCCUCCCUGAGGUUAGCAGCAAAGUGAGCCCUUCUGUCGGGCCACACGCUCUGACCAAUGAGGAAAGAGAAAUGCAGAAUUAGUGAAAGUCGAGCCUGUUUUCCAAGGACUAACAGAAUUCACAGAAGUUGGUGUUGUGUGGCAAUCUUUUCCUGGGGAGGUACAGCACAUGUCUACUCCCUCCAAAUGGGGAACCCGGGACAGACCAAUGUGUGGAUACUACCAAAGUCCAAUUUGGUGAGUAGGUGCCAGUGACUUCCUCCCACUGAAGAAAAGAGGCCCACGCCACUGGUCACCUGGUUUCACCGUCCUGCUUAAAGAGUGUCCCUGCAGGAUGGAAUGUUUUGGUCUCCAAGGAAACCAUUACACAACAGUCGAUCUGCACUGUACAACAACAUUGUAAGACAUGAAGAUGGUCUUGAAAUUGAACUGUCUUAUGUGUGGAUGCAACGACAGAGGGAAGAACCAGGGUGCAGCUUUACCAAACUGGCUGGGAGCCUCUUACAUGUGGCUGUCAACUACCCUUGCUUUCUGUUUCCCACCAGCAGGUGCCUUGCUUAGGACCAAAAGGAUGCUGAGCUGCGGGUGAAGAAGCCUACCUGCCCUCAGCAAGCAGCUCCUGUUCACAAUGCCCUAAAUUUCUUUUUAAAAAUUAAAGUUAUAUUUCGAAAAAAAUAUAAAAACAACAGCAUAGAUAGGAAAAAAAGAGGGGAUAAACUUUUUACUGUUCCCAAAUGACUAUUAACAUCGUGUGGUGCGUGCUGAUGGACAUAUCCAUCACACAUGUGAUACAUACAUGUAAACACAUAUGUAUUGACACUACACAUCCUAGUGGUCAAUAUGGACAUAUUUUUGGUAAACUCUCUGUUCACCAAAAAUAGAAAUGGCACCUUUUUUAAAAAUUGAUUCUUCGUGGAUUUCACAUCAUGCAUCCUGAUCCCAUUUAUCUCCCUGAUGCUUC